rnacentral:rRNA from 1 species
CCUACGGGAGGCAGCAGUGGGGAAUAUUGCACAAUGGGGGCAACCCUGAUGCAGCGACGCCGCGUGAGUGAAGAAGUAUCUCGGUACGUAAAGCUCUAUCAGCAGGGAAGAAAAUGACGGUACCUGACUAAGAAGCCCCGGCUAACUACGUGCCAGCAGCCGCGGUAAUACGUAGGGGGCAAGCGUUAUCCGGAUUUACUGGGUGGAAAGGGAGCGUAGACGGCAGCACAAGUCUGGAGUGAAAUCCCGGGGCUUAACCCCGGCACUGCUUUGGAGACUGUGCGGCUGGAGUGCAGGAGGGGGAAGGUGAAUUCCCAGGGUAGCGGGGAAAGGGGGAGAUAUUAGGAGGAACACCGGUGGCGAAGGCGGCUUACUGGACUGUAACGGACGUUGAGGCUCGAAAGCGGGGGGAGCAAACAGGAUUAGAUACCCCUGUAGUC